UAUACUGCGAAACUGCGAAUGGCUCAUUAAAUCAGUUAUCGUUUAUUUGAUAGUACCUUGCUACUUGGAUAACCGUGGUAAUUCUAGAGCUAAUACAUGCGAAAAACCCCGACUUCGGGAGGGGUGUGUUUAUUAGAUAAAAAACCAAUGCCCUCACGGGCUCUUUGGUGAUUCAUAAUAACCAAACGAAUCGCAUGGCCUUGCGCCGGCGAUGGUUCAUUCAAAUUUCUGCCCUAUCAACUUUCGAUGGUAGGAUAGUGGCCUACCAUGGUAUCAACGGGUAACGGGGAAUUAGGGUUCUAUUCCGGAGAGGGAGCCUGAGAAACGGCUACCACAUCCAAGGAAGGCAGCAGGCGCGCAAAUUACCCAAUCCCGACACGGGGAGGUAGUGACAAUAAAUACUGAUACAGGGCUCUUAUGGGUCUUGUAAUUGGAAUGAGUACAAUUUAAAUCCCUUAACGAGGAACAAUUGGAGGGCAAGUCUGGUGCCAGCAGCCGCGGUAAUUCCAGCUCCAAUAGCGUAUAUUAAAGUUGUUGCAGUUAAAAAGCUCGUAGUUGAACCUUGGGCCUGGCUGGCCGGUCCGCCUCACCGCGUGCACUGGUUCGGCCGGGCCUUUCCUUCUGGGGAUGCGCAUGCCCUUCACUGGGCGUGUCGUGGAACCAGGACAUUUACUUUGAAAAAAUUAGAGUGUUCAAAGCAGGCCUUUGCUCGGAUACAUUAGCAUGGAAUAAUAGAAUAGGACGGCUUUCCUAUUUUGUUGGUUUCUAGGGAAGCCGUAAUGAUUAAUAGGGAUAGUCGGGGGCAUCAGUAUUCAAUUGUCAGAGGUGAAAUUCUUGGAUUUAUUGAAGACUAACUACUGCGAAAGCAUUUGCCAAGGAUGUUUUCAUUAAUCAGUGAACGAAAGUUAGGGGAUCGAAGACGAUCAGAUACCGUCGUAGUCUUAACCAUAAACUAUGCCGACUAGGGAUCGGGCGAUGUUACUAUCUUGACUCGCUCGGCACCUUACGAGAA
rnacentral:rRNA from 1 species